rnacentral:hammerhead_ribozyme from 1 species
GCAGUGCUGAAGAGCCCCAUAAUAGGACGAAACGACCGUCCAGUAC